rfam:Danio rerio chromosome 7, GRCz11 reference primary assembly.
CCAAAGGCUCUUUUAAGAGCCAUCCACUUACUACUUAAAGGGUGAU